CCAGCUCAUCGCGGCGGGGAGGGCACCCGGCCGGCCGGCCCAGGUGGGGUUGGGCUCGCCCCGCGUCCCCUCGAGCUUUGCCCGCCCCGAGCUCCGCUGCUCCCGGCGGCCAGAACGGAGGGGUAGAGCAGCCCUCGGUGGCCCGGGGGGCGGGCGGCCGUGCCCGUCCCGGGGCCGCGCGAGGCACAGACGCCGCGGGCCGCGGGCCGGGGGAGGGUUCCCGGCGGACAGGCCCGGGCGCGGUAACAACUGCGCUUUGCUUCCCCAGGGCGCAGCCGCGGCUACUUGGUUGCGGGUUCCUGCCGGCCCCGCCUGCGCGGCGAGAGCCCAUCCCAGACCCACCUUGGGCCUGGGGAGUUUGUGUGCAGCGUCUGCGGGCGUGCAGCGGCCUGAGUUCUAAGCGCAGGUUGAAAACUACAGGUACAAGCCAUUGAAGCUGGAAUGCUCUGAUGCUGGUAUUUUCACUGACUAAUACCAACUAUGACUCUACAGUUUAUAAUACACAGGUGCCUCUGAUGAGGUCACAUAUUCUUACAUUACUUGUAGCAACCAUGUGUCCAUGUACCUCACUGGGUUAGAGCAGUAGGACAAUGCUGGUGGUGAGGGUCGGAGCUUUAUUUUCAUGUUUUAAUUAUCACAACUCUGUGAAGUCGAUACUAUUCUCAUUUUACAGAUGAAGUAACGGGUUAGGUAGUGACUCAAGAUCCUAUCACAUAUGCCUAGCACUGAACGAGGAGCCUUGUAGGUAACUUGCUGGCUAUGUGACCUCUGGAAAGUCACUUAUCUCUCUUGGGAUUUAGUGUCCUGGUGUAACAGAAAUAUUUAAACAGGAUGAGACCAGUUUGGGGGGGAAACACCACAGUAGAGCUAUUAAGAGUAUAAGCUUUUCAUAGUAUUUAAUUUCAUUGAGCCUCCAGAAGUUAACCCAAAAUUUGGCACAAAGGGAGCAUCUGUCAGCAUGUUAGGUGUUUUUGGUGAAUGUAGCAUAAUGAGCUGUAAAAACAGAUUUAAAGGACACAAUGGUGGUAGAUUAGAAUAUGAAGGUAUUGGAAAUGAUAGGGAAAGUUUUCAUAUGGGAAGAAAUGCGAUAAUGUAGCAAGAUUAACAGAGCCUAGUAUGUGAUAGAAGUUCUUCCUGUCAGCCAGCUCUGAAUGUCUACAAAUACCCCAUUUUAAAUAAAGAUACUUAAUAUUCA